rnacentral:rRNA from 1 species
CCUACGGGAGGCAGCAGUGGGGAAUAUUGGACAAUGGGGGCAACCCUGAUCCAGCCAUGCCGCGUGUGUGAAGAAGGCCCUCGGGUUGUAAAGCAAUUUCAGUGAGGAAGAACGCCUGGUGGUUAAUACCCAUCAGGAAAGACAUCACUCACAGAAGAAGCACCGGCUAACUCCGUGCCAGCAGCCGCGGUAAUACGGAGGGUGCGAGCGUUAAUCGGAAUUACUGGGCGUAAAGCGCGCGUAGGUGGCUUGAUAAGCCGGUUGUGAAAGCCCCGGGCUCAACCUGGGAACGGCAUCCGGAACUGUCAAGCUAGAGUGCAGGAGAGGAAGGUAGAAUUCCCGGUGUAGCGGUGAAAUGCGUGGAGAUCGGGAGGAAUACCAGUGGCGAAGGCGGCCUUCUGGACUGACACUGACACUGAGGUGCGAAAGCGUGGGUAGCAAACAGGAUUAGAUACCCUUGUAGUC